UUGUUCUCAGCACUUCAAGCCCUUCUUUUAACCUAAACCUCUUCCUCGCUUCCGCUUCCGCUUCCGCUUCCGCUUCUGCUUCUUCUGCCCUCAAACACUAUUCCUGGGUGAAGUUACCCUGUUUCCUUCCUUCCUUCCUCUCGUCAAUCAAUUCCAUAGUGAAGAUUCCAUCACGUAACCGUGUGAGUCGUACGAGGCGGCUCGCGGCUUCGCGAGAGGCGGUCACUCGCGGCUUUGCGAGGGGGUCGCUCGCAGCUUUGCGAGGCGGCCGUUCGUGGCUUCGCGAGGGGGUUGUUCGCAGCCUCCCCGUCGCUCGCUGCCUUAUUUCUACUAAAAUGACUUCCAAUUAAAGCAGAAAUGACAUCCUCCUCUUCAUCAUCAAGCUCGUCUUGGGUGACACCGGCAAGUAUGGGAUCAAGUGGCCAUCGCACGACCCUCUAGAGCCCAAAGCCUCCAUUGGUAACACUCCUGUGCUGGACAUUGGUGGUCCCUGAAGUGAACCAGUUCACAAGCAGAGGAGUAGUUUAUUGAUGGUACACACCAGGAUUUUGACUCCAUCAUAUUGGCGACGGGCUAUAGAAGCAAUGCCACUGCUUAUAGCUCAAGAUUGCAAAAUGAGGAACAAAGAGAAUUGAUGGAACAAAGUGGUAUCUCCUUUUGACUCAUUUGUGGAACUGAUGGAAGGAUAGUAAUGAGGUUGUUUGCGAAAAUGCCUGCAAGGAUUGGCAUGUAGAUAGAAUUGAGCCAAUUGCUCAUCCAUCAAAGGGGAAAAGAAACAUUUUUAACUCCCUAGGGGAUAUACCGUCUAUUCAUUGCAGUAAUGUGUAAGUAUGGGCAUUGAAGGUGAUACACAUGAGAGAACACUCAUAAUACCAUAUUAUCACUUCUAUAAUCAUGACUAUUUUAUUUUUAUUA